GCAAGCGCCGCGCGCAGCCCCGGUUCCCACCCGCGCCUCUCCCUCCACACCUCUGUGCAAGCUGAGGGAGCCGGCUCCGGCCUCGGCCAGCCCAGAAAAGGGCUCCCGCAGUGCAGCGGCGGGCUGAAGGGCUGCUGAAGCGCGGCAAGAGUGGGCGCCUAGGCCAAGGAGGCGCGGAGAGCGAGCGAGGCCUGUGAGUGCUGCCAGCACGCCGUCACCUCUCAAUAUGACUUAGGGAUCAUGGCUUAUUUGAGCUGUUGCUCCUCAGUGGACAUCAUAGGAUCUUGCAGAUGUGUAUCAAUCCUUCGCAAGUAGGGAGAGCUCCCUUGGUUACGACAGUCUUAAAGAUCUCCUGUUACAUAAAUUUGACAGUAAGUUAUCAACAUUACAACUAAGAAGCCUAACCAUUUGGAAUUUAAAACUCCUGUAUCAGUCUGCCCUGGAGUCAUUCUGGGAUGAGUCAAGUGGUCAGACACUGUCUCACUGGAUGAGAAACAUGAUCAUGUCUGAGUACCAGGAAUAACAAUUCUAAAAAUGGACAGAUCUAAUUCAUUCAAUAUUUCAGUGAUGGCCAAGUGACGCAUGCUGGGAGGGCUCAACCUCUACGCCUGGAAACUUGGCUCUUUGGGAAGAUGUGGCAAUGCAAAUUUGUUGAAGAUGAAGGAUAUAUCACUCUUCUGGAAUGAAUGGAAUGAAUGGAAUGUCUAGCCAGAGACCUUUCAGAAAUCUUAAUAAUUGUGGCAAUUUUUUUUUCUUAACUGUUCACUUCUCUUAACAAAAGAAAAGCCACUGCAAUGCCCCACCUAUUCCCCUCACACAUGUCUGUUCUUGAUACUAAUUUUUACAUUUUGACAUUUAAAUAGUAACUAUAAUUAUCCACAUUUUUUCUUCUUUGGGCAAUUACAUUUGCAUUCUUAGUGAAGAACUGUAAAACCAAAUGGAUGGACCAAAAAAAUGGUUUAAACAGAAGUCGUACAAACAUGCAUAUUUGAAAGAGGAGAUUCUUAUAACUACAUAAAAUAAAUAAUGUAAUAUCUUCUAUUUAUACUUUCCAGUAGAUUAAGUGCUGAGGACACAGUCAACAAAAACAACAUUAUAUGUUUCUACUGGCAAUAUCCCUGGUGUUGCCUAAUUGGUUGAAUUUCAAACCAUUAUCUUUAAAGAAGCAUCUCUAUAGGUAUAGUUAGUUCUUCUUUGCUUUCUGCCAGAGAAGCCUGCAGAACACAAUCAAGGGAUAUUGAUGUUCAAAGAAAAGAAUGGCCUGACAAUUCAAACAACAUACCUAAAAUUUUUUACGUUCUAAGAAAAUAGAUGCUGUGUUGCAUUUUUGUGCAUCUUUGUACCUCCUUGGUUGAUAACAAAGUAAGUUUUCUAGCACUGCCUCUGGGUUCUUUCUAAGUAGAGACUUGUCCUGUAACAAGAUGAAUGAAAGUAUGAGCAGAUAAAUAAUGUGCAUACAACGUAGAAUGAAACUUUUAAAAUUAACGUAGCAACUUCAAAAGACUUAAAAAAUGAAAAUUCCAUGGAAAAAUUUUAAUAUGCCUUAUUAUCCUCCAAUAUUUGUAGACCUCAGAAAAAAGUUGUUUCUCAUUCUGUUGAACAUAUAUUUAUGAAUUUUGUUCAAAUGCAAAAAUCAACUAAUGGCUAAUGUCUAAAAAUAAGAAAACAUAUUAGCUAAUAAAAGACUUUUGGGAAAAUGUUAAUUUGUUUUGAUUGAAAAUUGUUCAUUAAUGUACUCUCAUGAACUACUAUUUAGAUUUCAUCAUGAAUUUAAACUACUUAUCACAAGUUUUACGAACAGAAUAUAGUCAGGUAAUAUUUCCAAUUUAUUUAAUAAGUUUUUGUUUAGCAUAUACUAUAUGUCUGGCACUAUAAA
rnacentral:lncRNA from 10 species